UACGUAGGGUGCAAGCGUUGUCCGGAAUUAUUGGGCGUAAAGAGCUCGUAGGCGGUUCGUCGCGUCGGCUGUGAAAUCCCGAGGCUCAACCUCGGGUCUGCAGUCGAUACGGGCGGACUGGAGUACUGCAGGGGAGACUGGAAUUCCUGGUGUAGCGGUGAAAUGCGCAGAUAUCAGGAGGAACACCGGUGGCGAAGGCGGGUCUCUGGGCAGUUCCUGACGCUGAGGCACGAAGGUCAGGGGAGCAGACGGG
rnacentral:rRNA from 1 species